GGCUGCGCGGCAGACGCUGCCGCCCACUCUGCUGGUCGCCGCUCGGAAGGGACGAGUCACGGGCGGUCACCCGAGGCCAGCGUGUCUGCCCCCCGCCAGAGAGCCAUCGCUCGAAGGACGCGAAGCUUUGCCCGACCGGGGUCCCCGAACGCUGUCCCUCUUGGCCGCAGCGCGUGGCAAACAGCUCCCAGUCUGCGUCACCACGAGCGGCGCUGCAGAAGGAAGAAUCAAUAAGACCCAGCCGCAGUCCCCCGCCUGCUGUCCCGCGGGGAGGUUAAUAAGAUGCAGCGCGCCGCGGAGGGUGUCCGCUUGGGGAGGCGGCCGGGUGGCGAUGACUUAGCCGGAUUCUCAAAGGACGGCUGGACGGGGGAAGGGCCGUGCAAGUAGCAGCCCGUUCCGAGGAGGAGGAUCAGGAAACGGGAUGGAGGAUCAUUUGUAUCCUCUGGGAAAACACUGAUAGGAUUUGAGGUCCGAGAGGUGGACAAGGGCCAGGAAAGCCCUUAAUUGUGCUGGGCUUCUGACCUACGUGGAUUCUUGCCUUUAGCACGUUCAGUGUGCCCUUUUAGUCAUUAGUACAGCAGUGAGUGUGAGUUACCAUUCUGUUUCCUGCUCAGGGAGAGAACCUGCACAGUAUAGGAUCAGACCUGGAUUCACCUGGACCGCUCCCUGGUUCCACCAGCUUUUAGUUGUGUGCCUUGAGCAAGACGCUGAAUCUUUGGGUCUCAAUUUUCCUCACCUGUAAACAGUAGCUAGUAUUUUUGUUUACAUCAUAGGCCUGUGAGUUGAUAGAGUUUCUAGCACAUAGUAGGCACCAUAUUGGAGCUAACAACCCCAUGCUGGGGAUUGAACUCAGGCAUAAGCUACCAUUGCGUUAUUUCCCCAUCUCUUUUUUAUUUUGAGACUGGUUCUCACUAAAUUGCCCAGACAAGCCUGGAACUUUGAUCCUCCUGCCUCAGCCUACUGAGUAACUGGGAUUCCAGGCCAGUGCAACCAUGCCCAGCUGACUUGUGUUAUUAACAUUAAGUAGCUGGAGUUCUUUUCUAACAAUCCAAACAUGUUCAGGGUGGUGCUUAAUUAAUGCAGCAAACACAAUCAAAUCAUGGGUUAAAAAAGAAGAAAAACCACAUUUUGCUAUUACAAAUAUUUUUUAGCAUAUUAGGGAAAAUGUGAGCAAAUAACGACAAGGUUUGGGGCAAAGGUAGAAGGGACCUGUUCUUGCCUGAGCUAGAGGAAAUGGGAAAGUUUGGGUCAUCCAAACUACAAUUUGUGGGAAAGGAUUAUAGGCAUAUGAACAACAACAGGACAAGACAAAUAGCGUUUUAGUCGUCCCAGUGGCCCACGCCUGUAAUCCCAGAGGCUGAAGCAGGGGGAUUGUAAAUUCAAAGUCAGCCUCAGCAAUUUAGUGAGACCCUGUCUCUAAAAUUUAAAAAAAAAAAAAAAAAAAAAAGGUGGGAUGUGGCCACAAGCAUCUGAAUAGUGGUUAUAAGGAUAGGAAAAGAUGGCAGUAUUGAGGUGGAAUGAAAAGAAAAGAGUCCUGGGCUUAGGAGUGCAGCUCAGUGUUAGCACACUUGCUUAGCAUGCAAGAGGCCCUGGGUUCAGUCCCCUGUAGUGGGGGCAUAAUCGCAAAAGUCUAGAGUUUAGGGUUUGGUGGGUUAAAGUUGUGCCACCAACUGCAAUGGGGCAUUCAAGCUGUAGCUAAAUUGUUAAGAAGUAUAACUUCUUGGAAGAACUUGAAAUUACAACUGUCCCUGUGGGACAGUGUGGUCUAAUGCAACCUCCCAAAAAAAUGUUACAGGAGUUUAUAUCCCAAAUGCCUGUCGUUGUCUGGAGUGGGCAGCAUUGUGUUAAUGUGAGAUCAGAAAUGAUGGCAUGAAUCUUUGCAAGAGCCCUGGUAGUCCUUUUACAGCUUAGUCUGACACCUGUCACAAAUGCUCAUCCAGGAUUACACUCAAAGAGGCAUAACCUCCCCAUUCAACUCCCAAGUGUCAGAGACUCAGAUAGGACUCAUAUAGGCCUACCAAGAAGAAGAAAGGGGAACACACUGUCCACCAGCAACUAGGUAAUGGGUGCCUGCCGGAAGUGCCCUCCAAAUAAGGCUGGACUCAGGUAUGUAACUCGCAUACAUUUGAGUAGCAGCUGUCCUAAAUGUGCAUGCUAAAGUUUGUUUUUGAGUAAGUGGAAAUAACUUGAAAUUACAUAGAGAACUAAAUUAUCAGAAAUUUGGUUGGUAGGGACUGGGGGUAUAGUUCAGUUGGUAGAGUACUUGCCUGGCAUGCACAAGGCUGUGGGUUCAAUCCCCAGCACCUCAAAAAAAGAAGAAAACCGGUUAGUAAACAAGGGUCAGAAAAUCUUAACUGGUGAUGUUAAGCUAUAAUAUGGUCAUCCCUCUCCACUAUAGGGUUACAUCUUAAAGGAAAAAACACUGUGAUUAAGCUUUUGGCCAGCAAUUCCUCUCCUAAAUAAAUUUAUUUGUCCUGAAAGUAGCUCUUGGUUAUCUACAGUGCUCACUUCAGUAGAAGCCCAGUGAGACUGAGAAAGGCCUGAGGGCACAUAGCUAGUAAACAGCCCCCAGCUGAAGUCUGGGUAUGACAGCCCUGCCUUAGAACACAAGCACUACAAAAGUCUUUCUCCCCUUGCUGUUUCACAAAGGAGGGAAACCAGACCUGGAAAGUAGGAGAUUGACACAAGGUUGCACAGCCAGUACCUGGGAGAGCUGGAAUUUGAAAAUCCAUGUGAUAAGUACGCACAUGAGCUCAUGUAUCACAAACAACUCUUAGUUCUGGUUCUUCUCAUUUUAAGGAUGAAGAAAUUGAGGUUUAGAAAGUUUUUAGAAAGAAUUUGCCUAAGAAUGGAAAACUUAGCAACAACAACAACAAAAAAAAACAGGCCUUCCUCUUAGGACCCAAAGUUGAAGUGUGAAAAGCUUAUGUGGGGGCUGGGGAUGUGGCUCAAGCGGUAGCGCACUCGCCUGGCGUGUGUGCGGCCCGGGUUCGAUCCUCAGCACCACAUACAAAAAAAAGAUGUGUCUGCCGAGAACUAAAAAAAAUAAAUAUUUAAAAAAAAAAAAAAAGCUUAUGUGGAAAAUGAUGCACAAACCAGUCUGGCUCCAAGGAUGGUCAGAAAUGAGGACUUAGGCAAAAAUGUGGAUUAGGGCAAUUGUGAAAGACUGAAGAAUGGGGUAAUCCCAGCUACUCUGGAGGCUGAGGCAGGAUCACAAGGUCAGGGCCAACCUGGGCAAUUUAGCAAGAGCUACCAUGUCUCUAAAAAGGGUAGGGUGUAGCUCAGUGGUAGAGCACUUGCCCAGCAUGUGUGAGGGCCUGGGAUCCAAUGCCAGCACUGCAGAAAGGCAGAGAUGAGCAAAUCCACAAGCAGUGCAGACCUCACAAAGAAAUUAGAUAAUUCAAAGUCUAGGCUGGGAUGUAGCUCAGUGGCAAAGCAUCUUCCUUGCAUUCACAAAGCCCUGGGUUCAACCCCCAGUUCCAAAAAAGACCAAAGGAAAAAAAAAAAGAACCCCACCAAAGUCUAACGAUGUGCUGAUGUGGCCUUAUGUUAGCUGAAUUCAGGUUUAUUCAGGAGGCACUGAUGAUUCUGCAUCACAUCAGCAGAGCUUCUAGAGACAUGAAGUAGAUGUGAUGCUGAACCUACCUAUGGAGCCUUUGUAGCACAAACAGGAGUCCGCACGUGGGGAGAAACGAGUGCACAGAAAACUCCGACCAUUUCUUUCAUUCAACAGAACUGAAGGCCUGCUCUGAGUUCCCCUGGGAUAAGUCCCCUAGUUAACUUCCUGACAGGUUUACAGAGAACUGAGAAGGGACCAUGAGGCCUCUGAUCUCUGGCCUGGCCCCUUUGUCACUUGCAGAUCUUGUCUCUAAUUCCUGAGGCCCCUUUCCACCCGCUAUGGGUGUCAUCUUUCCCUCGGGAUCUUUUCUCCCCUUUAAGUCUGUCCCAGCCAGCUGUCCCCUUACUGACUUGUCCCUGCCUCCCUCAGCAAAUUGUUUCCACAUUUAUCUGCUCCCUCUCCAAAUUCUGCCUCUCCCUGUCACUGGCGUCUGUCCCUGUUUGUUCCUGGCUUGCAGGCAUCGGCCCAUAUCUGUCUCCAAGUCUUACCAGUUCUCACUUUGAAAUUCUUCUCACAACACCAGGAGCACAGUGCGGUUGGAGACCAUCUGGGGAAUGUGGGGGCUGGGUCCAGAACUUCUGUGCUCAGAUGGCAGAGUUCAGCAACCUCCGUGGCCCAGGAAUAAUCUUUAAAGUGAGGAGAACACUGACAGAUAACAUUUGUGGAAUGUUUUCAUGUCAUGGACACUGCUAAGCCAUCUGUGGUGCUCAUGAGAUGGCUAGAAUACACAGGUUGUGAGCAUUUCCAGAGGGUGCCUGUGAAGCUCUUUGAUGCCUAACUCUCAACAUGAAGCAUUUAUAUGAAAAUAAUUUUUCCCAUGCAUUUCCACUUAGUUUAGGCCCUCAAUCCUCAAAGCCAGUCCUGUCACUACUUUACGUGUGUGUGUCUGUGUGUGUUUACUGAAGAUUAAACCCAGAGCACUUUACCAUUGAGCCACAUCCCCCCAGUCUUUUUACAUUUUUAAAUUUUUUUUUAAAGAGAGAGGUGAGAGAGAGAGAGACAGAGAAUUUUUUAUAUUUAUUUUUUAGUUUUUGGCGGACACAACAUCUUUAUAUGUGGUGCUGAGGAUCGAACCUGGGCUGCACGCAUGCCAGGUGAGCGCGCUACCGCUUGAGCCACAUCCCCAGCCCUAUUUACAUUUUUGAUACAGCAUCUAUCUCUCUUAGUUGCUCAGGGCCUUACUAAAUUGCUGAGACUGGUCUCGAACUUGUGAUCCUCUGCUUCCGCCUCCCAAACUGCUGGGACUACAGCCAUGCACCACCAUGCCCAGCUCUUUGAAAAUCUUAAUGCUGUCUCCAUUUUACACAUGCAAGCCAUCAAUAAUACUUCUGAUGAGGCUACCUUCAAAAUGUGUCUAAGGGGCUAGGGUGAAGCUGUAACUCAUGGUAGAGCCCUUGCCUAGCAAGUGCAAGAUCCUGAGUUCCAUCCCCAACAUUGCAAAGAAAAAAAGAGUGUGUGUGUGUGUCUGUGUCUAACUGCUUCUCACCACCCUGAGUACAACCUCCUACUGGUCACUCUGCUUCUACCUUUGUCCUGUUCCUAUCUGUUCUCAAAAGGCAGCUGCAGGGAGCCUGUUGAAACCUAGGUCAGCUCAGUCCCUCCUCUCUCAAAAUUCACCAAUGGCUCCCAAGUGAGCCCAGGCCCCACAAAGAGCCCCAUGAUAUGGCCUCUCACUCCCCAGACCCCUCUCCCACUUUUCUCCCUCUCAUGCUAUGCCCCAGGCACACUGGCUGUGAGGUUCCCCAGGCACAUCUGGAAUGCAGUUGCCUCGGGGACUUUGCACUUACUGCUCUUGCACAGGAAUGCUCCGUCCCCUAGGAAUCCCACGUGGUUCCGUCCCUCCCUGCUUCAAGUCUUGGCCCAAAGUUCACUUUUCAGCGAGAUCUUUCCUACCUUCAAUAAAACUAACCCUCCCUGUCACUCUGCAUCCCCACUUCCCUUUUCUCCUUCCUGCUUUCUUUUCCUCCAUAGCACCUUUGACCUCACCCACUGUAAAAUUUGUUCACCUCUCACUUAUUGCAUAUCCCCUCCCACUCUAUGAAGGCAGGCCGGGGUUUGUGCCUGUUUUGCUCACCAGUACAUCUCCAGAGCUGCUGUAAAGCCUGACAUAUAGUAGGCACAUGAUAGAAAUGUACUGGAUACUUAAUGAAAAUCACUCGUCUGGACAGUCCUCAAAUGUGAGGUAGUCAGCUCUCAGCUUCACUCGCCAGCCUCCUGGCCACCAGAGUAGUGGUUAGAUUCGAAGACAGCCCACAAAAACCUGAGCCCCCAAUAUACCUGGUGACCUUGCCCCACAGGAAUCUCCAUUGCUACCAUGAAACCAGGGAGCAUUUUCAGGAGCAGUAACAGAAGCUUCCUGGGAGAGAGGAUUUCAGUGCUAUGAGGACAGGCAGUCUGUCAGUGCAUUUCCCAGGGACUGGGCCUGGCCUCCUGGCACACAACAUUCCUGCCUCCUCCUGACAACCUUGCUUCACCUCCACUGCUAGCUGCCUCUUUCAUAGGCUUCCAACCUCCCAGGCUCCAUCACCCCAGUCUCUCCCCUAAGCAGACAUAGUGCCCUCUGGUUUCCCCAGGGGCCACUGACCCUAAAGCUUAGGAGACAGGAAUCUGGCCUUGUCUGCCCCAAAGGUGAGCCUUUGGAGUUGCAGUGAGGGGAGGGAGAAUCCCAGCAAGUCUAAAGAGGGAAGAACAGAAGAGGGAAGGAAGAGCUAAGUGGAGAGGCUGGAGGGAUCAUCAUGAAUUGUUGCUAGAAGGCUUGUCUGUAUGCUGGUGGUGACCACUGAAUACUGUGGAACCUUUGAAGAUGUUUAUUUGAGUUUUGUUGUUGUUGUUUUUACCAGGGAUUGAACCCAGGGGCACUGCUUAACCGCUGAGCCUCAUCCCCAGCCCUUUAAUUUUUAUUUAGAGACAGGGACUUGCUGAGUUGCUUAUGGCCUCACUAAUUUGCUAAGGCUGACUUUGAACUUGUGAUCCUGCUUGCCUUAGCCUCCCUAGACGCUGGGAUGACAGGCAUACACUAGGAUAAGUCUCCCAGCUUAUUUGAGCCUUUGAUGAUGUUUAUUUGCAGGAAUAACUCUCCACUUGGUACCUGGAGAAAGAUUCCUGGUCCCUCUUUUUACUUACAGGGUACUUCUGGCCUAGAGCAGGGUAAAUAAACCACAGUCUAACCCCAAAUCACUUUAGUAUUGAAGAACCAAACCUUCCAAAGAUGUAAGAUAUGAAUAUUAGUAUGAAAUGAGGUUGAGAUGAUUUUUGACUGCAGAAUCCAGAAUCUCAAAUAUUGUCUUUAACUACCCACUUUGCAGCAAAGGUCUUCAAUGGCAAUACAUGCAUAGAAGAUACUGGCUGCAGAAAGUUCUUCAUCAACCUGAGCCUAUUUCCUUGUGAGCUAGACUCCAUGCGUAAACAAUUAUUUGUUCAGGUCAUGCAGUCUCUGAAGACUGACCAAAACCACCCAGAAAUGGCAACAUCUCAACAGCUGGUAUGUGCACCCCAGGCUUGAAAGCCCCAUCUAUGUCAAGGCUAGGACUUCUAGAGGCCUGGUUCUUGUGCCCCACAUUUGUCUUUUCAGAUGCAUGAAAGCAAAACACUUGAGAUGAACCUCUCCUCACAAAGCCCCACCUCUGCUCCGGAAGCACUAGACUUUGCAUAUGCAAAGAGUAAUGACCAGCCCACUACUUUGAGUUAUCUACGAUCUUACAAUGUUUCAAGGAUUCCAGUUGCAUGGUUGUCUGAACAAAAGAGGGAUGGAUUGACAGGUAAUUAUGAAUCUUCUCCAGCUGCCUAGAACACAGACAGCUACAUAAGCAGGAGGCAGAUAAUCCACCCACUUGUUCCCAAUCAAACCAUUUUCCAGAGUCUCCUGAAUUCUUUGCAAGACCCCCCAGGCUGUAGAAUACACCACUCACUCAGGGGUAGUGAUAACCAAGAGAUGGGGACAAGGAUAAAGGGAAGGUAUCAAAUGACAGGGAUGAUCCUGGAGCAGGACAGUAUUACCCCCAGAUGGGGAUGGGGUGGGGUUGGCGGAGUUCUGGUUGUGUGCUGUUUCUUUUUUUGUUUUUUCUUUUUUAGUUGUAGUUGAACACAAUAUCUUUAUUUUAUUUAUUUUACUUUUUUAAAAUAUUUUUUAGUUGUAGUUGGACACAAUACCUCCAUUUUAUUUAUUUAUUUGUAUGUGAUGCUGAGAAUCAAACCCAGCGCCUCACUUGUGCUAGGCGGGUGCUCUACCACUGAGCCACACCCCCAGCCCUGUUCUGUUUCUUAAUCUGAGAUGCAUUCACCUGGCAGGUAGAUCUCCUAUAAAAGGACACCUGUGUUUGUCAAUUUACACAGAAAGGGUAUGCAUCAUUCUACCACUGUGCUUUUUCUGAGAAGCCCUUUGUCCCUUGAAUGGCCUACCUCACAAAGCUUCUGCCUUCUUCCUCCCUUUCUGUCUUUGUUCUCCUCCACGCCUUUCCCUGUCUUCCCACCUCUCUUUGGUGCUGGGAAUUAAACACAAGGUUUAUACACUCUAAACAAGUGAUCUACCACUGAGUUACAGCCCCAGCUGCUCUGCUGAUUAGUAAUCAUCAUACAAUUUUUUUUUUCAAUUUUGAAUUUUAAAAUAAUUUUAAACUAAAAAAAAAAAAAGUCGAUUCAAGAAUAGCAGAAAGAGAGGGGCUGGGGAUGUGGCUCAAGCCGUAACGUGCUCACCUGGCAUGCGUGAGGCACUGGGUUCGAUCCUUAGCACCACAUAAAAAUAAAAUAAAGACAUUGUGUCCACCUAUAACUAAAAAAUAAAUAUUAAAAAAGAACAGCAGAAAGAGGCCAGGUAUGGUAGCCCAUGUCCCUAAUCUCACUGACUCAGGAGACUAAAGCAGGAGGAUUGUAAUUUUGAGGCCAGCUUUGGCAAUUUGGCAAGCUAACCCUAACCCUCAAUCUGUCUCAAAAUAAAAGGUUUGGGGAUGUAGCUCAGGGGUAUAGCACUCUGGGUUUGAUUCCCAGUAUGGGGUUGGGCGGAACUAGCAGAAAGUACCCCAUACCCCCAACUGUUAAAAACUCCACAUGUAGUUUCAGCAGUGCUUGUGCUGAAUACACUUGCAUCAUUUCUUCUGUGCUUCUACUGUAAAGAAGAGCUUUGGUUCUCCCCAAUUUCCUUUUUGUUUGCUUGGGUGCCUGCUUUUCACUGAGUCAGGGUCCCUUAGGAACACUGCUGGGAAGUUCCUACAGUAGCUAACUAAGUGCAUCCUCUGUGGUCCAGGAAGCGCACUUGGCAGCCCUGCAUCCACUGCCUCUGUUCCCUAGGUGAUGUGCACAGAUGACACUCGCACUUGGUCCACUUUCUGUUACUGAUAAAAGAAUACAACAGACUGGGUUAAAAAAAAAGAAAGAAAAAAGAUUGAACCCAGGGGUACUUUACCACUGAGCCACAUCCCCAGCCCUUCUUUGUGUUUUAUUUUGAGACAGGGUCUCAAAAUAAGCCCUAAGUUGCUUAGGGCUUCAGUAAAUUGUUGAGGCUCACCUGAAACUUGAAUCAUCCAGCCUCAGCCUCCCGAGUCAGAGUCACUGGGAUUACAGGAGUGAGCCACUAUUCCUGGACCAGGUAAAAUAUUUUUAAAACAGGUUUAUUGGACUUAAGGUUCUGGAGUUCCAAAGUUGAGGAGACCCAUCUGGCAAGGCCUUCUUAGUGAUAGAGACUCUCCAGAGUCCCAAGGUGGCACAGGGCGUCAUCUAGCAAAACAAUAAGCUGCGUCUCUCUCCCUCUUCUAAUAAAGCUGCUAAUGCCAUCCCGGGGCCUCUCCACUGACUUCUUCUAACCUUCUCUCUCAAAGGUCCCAUCUCCAGAUACCACAGGUGGAUUAAAUUUCAGCCCUCUUAAUAACUCAUUGCUGGGAUUACAAUUCAACAAGAAAGCUGGGAGGCUAGCCAGCUCCUCUGGAGGCUGGGCAAGGAGACUGGGGCCAGCCUUGGCAAUUUAGCAUGAACUUGUCUUAAAUUAAAAAGGGCUGGGAAGUGGUUUAGUGGUAAGAAUGCCCUGAGUUCAAUCCCCAGUACUGGGUUGGGGUGGGGAACACCACCUCAAAAUGAGGUUCUGGGGUGACAAACCAUUUUCAGACUGCAGUAAGCCCCAAACUGGAAUUUACCACAUGCCCAUCACAGGGAGAUCAGUAGGAACGAAGGUGCACAGACACUUUCAUGAGCAAAAUAAUUGAGCAAAAAAAUGCUAGAUCCAGAAGGGUGCAUGCUGUGGCGCUCAAGGUUCAAGUGGUUCCUAGUGGUCUGCAGAGCUGGAAGCCAGGACAUGAGCAACCUUCCCAUGGGAGUGGAGCAAGGGUGUGUCAAUAACAUUCAUGAAAUAAUAUUAUAUUAUCCAGUACUGGGGAUUUGAACUAGGAGUUUUCUACUACCCACUUACAUCCCCAGUCAUAAUAAUUUUUUAUUUUUUUUUGGGGGGGGGGGGUUUGGGGAUUGAACUCAGGGGCACUCCACCACUGAGCCACACCCCGCCCGCCCUAUUUUGUAUUUUAUUUAGAGACAGGGUCUCACUGAGUUGCUUAGUGCCUCACUUUUGCUGAGGCUAGCUUUGAACUCAAGAUCCUCCUGCCUCAGCCUUCCAAGCCAGUAGGAUUACAGGCAUGGGCCACGGCACCUGGCCGUUUUUUAUUUGUUAUUUGUUCAUUUUUAUUUUGAGAUAAUGCUGAAUUGCUGAAGCUGGCCUCAAACUUGUGCUCCUUCUGUCUCAGCCUCCUCAGUCACUGGAAUUAAAGGCAGGCCCAGUUACUACUUGGCCUUUGAGACUGGGGGUGUCCUGCUGCAGGAGAAGCUAGUAUCCUUUGUCAAAGAGCUAAAUCACACCUAGCCAGGAAGUCAGACACCUCAGGAAAUCUUGGAGAGGAAGAGGAACGAACGCAGGGAAGCUUCAGGCCAGCUGCUGGCCCAGGCCGAUGUGAGCCACCUGACAAAUGCGCCCUUGGUAUCCACUAGUGCCAGGGCCUUGCCUUGGGAUGCUGAACAGACAGCAGUCUGCUUCUUGCUUCUCUUCUGCCUUCCCAACGGUGCAGAAAGUGUGUAACCAGCUCACAAGUUGACACCUCGCAGAUCCUCUACCUGGCUUAUUAGCUAGGCACCUUCCUUCAUCUCAUUUGAAAUGUGAAUGACAAUCACCUAUGAAAGGACAGGAGAAUUAAAUGAAAUAAUGUGUUCUAGCCUAGAAUAUAACACUCUAAUUUUGUUGAGUGAGUUGAUUCCUUUACUAAAUUAGAUGAUCAAGAAUGUGCUUUUUGGGUGGACUGGAGCUGGGGCUGGGGCUCAGCGGUAGAGCGCUUGCCUAGCCUGUGCGAGGCCCUGGGUUCGAUCCUCAGUGUCAGAUCAGGUGAGGCAGGUAGCAACCAAAGGAGGCAGAUUUAAAAAGACAGCUGAACGAGGCUUUAUUUGAGACUCACUCCCAGGCGGAACUCAAUCAGCCCAACAGAGUGGACAGGAGGAGGAUCUGAGGAGAAACCACAUGGGAACUUAACCGGACUGGACUUUUAUGGGGCUCACAGCAGGAAGGGAAGGGCUUGGGACAGGAAAAGGUGUUCUUAGGGUCCCUUGUCCCAUUGGAGUUGGUCAGGGGAGGUGGCUAACUCCAGGAUUGGCCGGGGAGUCCUGCUGAUUGACAGGCAUUUCCGCAGGCACCUGAUUGAUGUUCCUUUCCCCAUGGGCUGCUUUGUUUUAAGUUGCCACCAAGACGCCACCACCUACCUAACACUCUGCACCACAUAAAAAUAAAUAAAAAAAUAAAGGUAUUGACAACUACAGCUAAAAAAUAAAUAUUAAAAAAAAAUGUGCUUUUUUGGGCUGUGGUUGUGGCUCAGUGGUAGAGCACUUGCCUGGCAUGUGCAAGGCACUGGGUUCGAUCUUCAGCACCACAUAAAAAUAAAUAAAUAAAAUAAUGCUAUUGUGUCCAAAAAAAAGAAUGUGCGUUUGGUUUGAACUCAACAAAGAUCAUUAGUCCUUUAAAAUGUGAAAGGAAAGAGAGGAACCGGGAGAAAUGAAAGAUGGAGACCAGGCAGAGAUACACAGGAGAGUUUAUUUGUCAGAAAUGACAAAUAAAGGCACAUCUCUCCCUAGAUAAAGACAGGCAAGACCAGUUUGGGGUUAGGGACUUUUAUGGGGCAGACUUAGGGAUUAGAGCCGGGUAGGCCUUAAUUCUGGCAGUUAAGGGUAGAGUUGUUAAGAGACAGUGGUGAGCCUUUCUCAGAAAUGCCCUUGGGUGGGAAAGCAAAAUUUUUCUUAAAAUGGUGCCUGCCACUUAAGAUGGCCAUCCAGAUGCUAAGCAAGGACUUUACAAAAUGUUAAGAAUAAUUACAUGAAAAUCUAGGAUCAAGUAAUAAAAUUAUAAAUCUUUUAUCCAUUUCUGUAGAUCAAAAAGCUUGAUGCUAUAAGUUCCCAUACUUAAAUUUCAUCUUCUCAUAACUGCUUUUUAAAAAGCAGGUUAUAGGGCCUGGGGAUGUGGCUCAAGCGGUAGCGCGCUCGCCUGGCAUGCGUGUGGCCCAGGUUCCAUCCUAAGCACCACAUACAAAGAUGUUGUGUCCGCUGGUUGAGAAGUAAAAAUAAAUAUUAAAAGAAGAAAAAAUUCUCUUGGUUACACAUCCACAUUUAAAAAAAAAAAAAAAAGGUUACAAAGUAGAAUUCAAAAUGUGGUUCCAUUUUUGUAAAAAUUAUUUUAUACAAAAUGGCCCCCUGAUCAAACACCUGGGUUUCUCUCUGGGCUUUACCUGUGCUAGUGAUAUGUGCAAAUUAGAAGAACACAGCAACUGUUUUAUUUAAUAAAAGAGGAGAGUGACAGUUCUUACCACCAGAAUUUGGCAUGAGUAUCUACUGAGAAAAUCUGAGUGACUGUUUAAAAUAGAACUUGUCAGGUAGGCACUAUGAUGCAGGCCUGUAAUCCUAAUGACUUGGGAGGCUGAGGCAGGAGGACCGCAAGUUCCAGACCAGCCUCAGCAAUUUAGUAAGGCACUAAGCAACUUAGAUUCUCCCUCAAAAUAAACAAUAAAAAGUGUCCUGGGGGCUAUUCCCAGUACCAAAAAAAAAAAAAAACCAACAAA